CUACGGGAUGCACCAGUGAGGAAUAUUGCGCAAUGGGGGGAACCCUGACGCAGCAACGCCGCGUGAGUGAUGAAGGCUUUCGGGUCGUAAAGCUCUGUCAAGUGGGAAGAACCUAUGCAGUGUUAAUAUCACUGUAUACUGACGGUACCACUGAAGGAAGCACCGGCUAACUCCGUGCCAGCAGCCGCGGUAAUACGGGGGGUGCAAGCGUUAUUCGGAAUCAUUGGGCGUAAAGGGCACGUAGGCGGCUUGGUAAGUCAGAUGGGAAAGCCCAGGGCUUAACCCCGGAAGUGCAUUUGAUACUGUCAGGCUUGAGUAUGGGAGAGGGAAGUGGAAUUCCUGGUGUAGAGGUGAAAUUCGUAGAUAUCAGGAGGAACACCGGUGGCGAAGGCGACUUCCUGGACCAAUACUGACGCUGAGGUGCGAAGGCGUGGGUAGCAAACAGGAUUAGAUACCCUCGUAGUC
rnacentral:rRNA from 1 species